CUGAGGCAGGAUGUGAUCCACGUGGUCUGACGUCAGAGCUCAGCUCUCUGCACCUUGCCCUGUUGCUUCUUCUUGCCUUUUUUCCUACCCUCUUUUCCUUCCCUUCUCCUAACGUUGUUUUCUCCUUCUCUUCUUCUAGGUCCCUGAACAAGAUCUUCUAUUCUCGGGAUAUGGGAGGCAUCAGCACAGUAGAAAACGAAGCUGACCAUCUCUCAGGAGGCAGCUUAGGUUGGGAAUCUCUUCAGGCUUGCUUUCUGCAAAUCGCUGGGUACAAAACAUUAUUGCAGAUGUGGAAAAAAUGUGCAGAGAACCUGUGCUUCUGAUAAUGCCUGACAUGAAGAAAUGCAUCUGAAGGUUCUUCAUCCAGAUUGGGGCAUCAGGUGAAACUUUCCGAGAGGGCAAUUAAUGCUUGAUAUGUUUAUGACAUGGAGCUAGAUAAGAGCCAGACCACAUAGAUAUUUGUGUGCCAUAUUCUGUUUACUUGUUUAAAAAAUAUCAUUGGCUUGGGAGGAAUUUUAAGUAGGAAUUGAUGUGACUAGAUCUUUUUCUUAAUAGCUAAUAAAAUAGUUAAUGCAAUCUAGGAGAGAAGUGAU
rnacentral:lncRNA from 1 species